UACGUAGGGGGCCAGCGUUGCUCGGAAUUACUGGGCGUAAAGGGUUCGUAGGCGGUGUGGCAAGUCGGGCGUGAAAUCUCUGGGCUCAACUCAGAGGCUGCUUCCGAAACUGCCAUGCUUGAGUGCGGGAGAGGGAUGCGGAAUUCCAGGUGUAGCGGUGAAAUGCGUAGAUAUCUGGAGGAACACCGGUGGCGAAGGCGGCAUCCUGGACCGGCAUUGACGCUGAGGCGCGAAAGCCAGGGGAGCAAACGGG
rnacentral:rRNA from 1 species